rnacentral:tRNA from 1 species
UGGCUCAGUGGUAGAGCAUGGUGUUUGCAACGCCAGGGUUGUGGGUUUGUUUCCCAC